AGGACAAUAUCAACAUCCAUCCCAUCAUGGCUGAUGUUUUGGACAAAACGCAUAACUGGGCCACAGAACACACCCAGGUCCUCAUAAACUGGCAUAUUGCCAAUGAGGGCUUAUUUACCGGCAAGAGGAACUCUUUUAAAACUGGAUGGGAUGAUUUUGUGAGAGCCCCUGGCCUGGAGGUCACAGCAAAGCAGGCUAAGAAGUGGCACAAUUUAGUGCAUAAAUAUAAGUGAGUUUCUUCAGAGUGAGGACACAAAGAAUUGAGAGGAGAAAGAGAGAAAUAAAACAAGAAGGUAAAGGGACACUCCCGCACUCUGGGACCAGACAAAGACGGAAACAACGAAGCUGACCGUCUGGCCAGAUUGGGAGCCGAAAGCGUAACCCCAUGGGAAUUCCGAGAACAUGUAAGCUUUCCUCCAGAUCCCCAGACCGUCUGUGCCAUCACCAGGCGACAGACCAGGGAAAGGCAGGAGAACCCCCAAAACUCAGGGG